rnacentral:rRNA from 1 species
UACGUAGGGGGCAAGCGUUAUCCGGAUUUACUGGGUGUAAAGGGAGCGUAGACGGCAAUGCAAGUCUGGAGUGAAAGGCGGGGGCCCAACCCCCGGACUGCUCUGGAAACUGUAUAGCUGGAGUGCAGGAGAGGUAAGUGGAAUUCCUAGCGUAGCGGUGAAAUGCGUAGAUAUAUGGAGGAACACCGGUGGCGAAAGCGGCUCUCUGGCCUGUAACUGACACUGAGGCUCGAAAGCGUGGGGAGCAAACAGG